rnacentral:rRNA from 1 species
GACGAACGCUGGCGGCGUGCUUAACACAUGCAAGUCGAACGGAAAGGCCCUGCUUUUGUGGGGUGCUCGAGUGGCGAACGGGUGAGUAACACGUGAGUAACCUGCCCUUGACUUUGGGAUAACUUCAGGAAACUGGGGCUAAUACCGGAUAGGAGCUCCUGCUGCAUGGUGGGGGUUGGAAAGUUUCGGCGGUCGGGGAUGGACUCGCGGCUUAUCGGCUUGUUGGUGGGGUAGUGGCUUACCAAGGCUUUGACGGGUAGCCGGCCUGAGAGGGUGACCGGCCACAUUGGGACUGAGAUACGGCCCAGACUCCUACGGGAGGCAGCAGUGGGGAAUAUUGCACAAUGGGCGGAAGCCUGAUGCAGCAACGCCGCGUGCGGGAUGACGGCCUUCGGGUUGUAAACCGCUUUCGCCUGUGACGAAGCGUGAGUGACGGUAAUGGGUAAAGAAGCACCGGCUAACUACGUG